AUUGAACGCUGGCGGCAGGCCUAACACAUGCAAGUCGAGCGGAUGAAGGGAGCUUGCUCCUGGAUUCAGCGGCGGACGGGUGAGUAAUGCCUAGGAAUCUGCCUGGUAGUGGGGGAUAACGUCCGGAAACGGGCGCUAAUCCCGCAUACGUCCUGAGGGAGAAAGUGGGGGAUCUUCGGACCUCACGCUAUCAGAUGAGCCUAGGUCGGAUUAGCUAGUUGGUGGGGUAAAGGCCUACCAAGGCGACGAUCCGUAACUGGUCUGAGAGGAUGAUCAGUCACACUGGAACUGAGACACGGUCCAGACUCCUACGGGAGGCAGCAGUGGGGAAUAUUGGACAAUGGGCGAAAGCCUGAUCCAGCCAUGCCGCGUGUGUGAAGAAGGUCUUCGGAUUGUAAAGCACUUUAAGUUGGGAGGAAGGGCAGUAAGUUAAUACCUUGCUGUUUUGACGUUACCAACAGAAUAAGCACCGGCGAACUUCGU
rnacentral:rRNA from 1 species